CAUUGUGUGUGUGAAAUGAGGAGGCAAGGGACCUCUGAGAAAAUUCUACUCCGCAGUUAUGCUGGGCCUGGAUCCUGAAUCCACAUGUACCACAUAUGCCUUCAGAAAUCUGCCUCCCUGCCUGGAGUUCUCAGACCUGCUCCCCCUCACCGUCCCACCUCUCCUUCCUUCCUCCUCUCCACACUGCCCAGCAGGGAACUGAGCAUGGGCUGGUUAUGGUUGGGCUCCUGUGCUCCACGGCAUCUGGAAAUGGAGUGCAGUGCCAAGCGUCCCAGCCCCAGGCUGGCACACCAUGGCUCAUUUGGCAGGUGAUUCAGUGGAGCAGAUCUCUCAGCCUCCCCUGAUCCAGAUGGAAAUCCUGGGGCUGCACUUGUAGGCGAAGAUCACUUUCUUCCCUUCCGCAUUCCGGACCUGUGCCCAGAGGGCUUCGAUCACUGGAAAGGGACCUAGAAGGAGGAUUCUUGGACAGCGUGGGGCACCUCGAUCCUACCAAAGCAUAUCAGAACCACAAAGGUUGGAGGAGGAUUAAAAUGAUACAAGUUUCCCCACAUCCCAUUGUCACCCCAGCCCUGCCGGUUUGUGAGACUAUCAGCUGGAUGAGCAACUGCUACUUAUACACCUUUGCUGUCAACAUGUAGGGCUGGGAACAACAUAGAGACCCACAGUCAAGGUGAAAGGUGCAUCACCUGCUCCCCAAAAGUAACUCCAGGGAGAGAAGAGGGUGCUCCCGGGAAAUGUGUCCAAAAGGAAACAAUCCCUGUACACAGUAGGACAAGAAUUCUCUUCCACGUGUCAUUGUCUACUCCUAUGCCACCCGGGGAACAAACAUUUCACCCCAGGCAGGAAUAAAAGGCUCCUUUAUGCUGAGCUUCCUCCAUUCUCUCUCAGUAAUUUGGAGCCCAUGAAGCUGCUUCCAGAGGAGAGGGCCCCAGAUCUAGAAUCAGGCAAUGGCACCCCAGUCCUGACUUUGCCACUAACCACCUGUGAAGAAGUAUCAGCUCCUUCUUUUCCCUUGUCCUCAGUCUGUUCUCCUAGUCUCCAUUUUCUUUGGUUGUACAAGGAGGGAUUGAACGCCAUAUCUAAGGGUCCUAUGGUUCCAAGGGUGUCCAUUGUGACAACCUUCUCUCAGCUGCCACCAUAAUUAAGACAUAAGCAGACUUUGUCCUCAUUAGUCAUGGCCUCCCUUUGGUUCUAUUUGCUCUCUUUUAGGCUUCUCUUCCUCUCCAGCCCACUAGAUUCCCACCAAUGCUACCAUGUUCUAUAAGACGUAACUCCAUUCACCCUCGCCAACCUUUCCAUAAGGAGGGAGGCUUCUAAAGUCUGCAGACCAAGGGGCCUAGGAGGUGGUCUGGUGCAGAGAAAAGACAGCUCUGGAGUCAGACUUUCCAAUUUCACACAUGGCUCUGUGACCUCUGAUAUGUGACUCAGCCUCUCUGUGCCUCUGAUCCUCAUCUGUAAAAUGGGGACAACACCAGCACUUAAGUCAGAAGGUUCCAGAGAGCAUUCAGUAAAUUAGUACUCAUAAAGCAUUAGGAGACUACCGCAUUGGAAGUAAGCACCAUAUGGAUGUUAGCCACAGAAAAAAGAAGCAUUUAUGUUGCAGAAGUCUUCAAAUCUUAAAAUAAACGACUGACUUCUAAUGCAUCAGUUUCAAGAGAUAGUAAACGAAAUGAAAGGUUUAGAGGCUAGAAAGGACUAUUGUGUUUCCCUAAAAUCACAACACACAGAUUGGCCUGCCCAACAAGCACACACGCCAGUUCUCUGGGAACUGAUUUUAGAGCUCAGAUUUUAGAUUCUAACCUAGCUGUAUUAUUUUAUAUCAAAACUCCAGUUUCCACAGAGAUAUUCAGUAUAUUUUUUAUUUUGAAUGUAACAAACCAAUUAAAGAAUGUUUCACAGUACGGUCCCUUUUGGGCUCCCAACCAAAGAACGCGUAUGAUCUCUGAGACCUUUUAGUUUCUGUUAUAGAUACAACUUGUAACCAUGAGGUGACCUAAUUUUAAAUUUCUCUCUGCCACUAGAACCUGAAAUGUGUCUUCUCCAGCAGGUAAACUCAGUCAACUCAUAUAAUCUAACAUGUUUUAGAAUAUCCUUCUCUACAGGUAAGGGGAUAAUGGAUAAGGGAGAUGCCUUCAAAUAAUAAAAAAAAGCUCAUGAAUCCCAGACAUUUUAUUGUUGGAUGGCUGGACACAGGAGGGAUACAGCAACCGUUGGGGUCUCUGGUGCCAUGCAUCUAGAUUGAUGGGAUACUUGGAAACAUACCAUGGUCUUCAAAGGCAAGUCACACUAUCCGGUAAGGCUGCAAGACUCAGGAAGUUUGUUGGAGGUUUUGCCCCAUGAAAAGUGAUCUUUUGGAGGACUCGGUUAUAACUCACUCUGUGGGUGAAAAUUGUCUCUUGAAGUUGAUGUGAAUAUCAAAGUUAUAGUGAAGGCACCUCAGUGACCUUGUUCUUCUAAUAUCUAAAUACUAUCGUUUGGAAACCUCCAGGCUGAUAAUUUAGAAGACUAAGAGCUAUUACUUAAAGAAACAAUAAUGAGAAAGAUGAGAGAGGCAGCAGAA